ensembl:lncRNA
GGGGUGAUGGGAUGAGAGAGGGUAGAGGUGUGUGGAGGGGUGAUGGGAUGAGAGAGGGUAGAGGUGUGUGGAGGGGUGAUGGGAUGAGAGAGGGUAGAGGUGGAGGGGUGAUGGGAUGAGAGAGGGUAGAGGUGUGUGGAGGGGUGAUGGGAUGAGAGAGGGUAGAGGUGUGUGGAGGGGUGAUGGGAUGAGAGAGGGUAGAGGUGUGUGGAGGGGUGAUGGGAUGAGAGAGGGUGAGGUGUGAGGGGUGAUGGGAUGAGAGAGGGUAGAGGUGUGUGGAGGGGUGAUGGGAUGAGAGAGGGUAGAGGUGGAGGGGUGAUGGGAUGAGAGAGGGUAGAGGUGUGUGGAGGGGUGAUGGGAUGAGAGAGGGUAGAGGUUUGUGGAGGGGUGAUGGGGUGAGAGAGGGUAGAGGUGUGUGGAGGGGUGAUGGGAUGAGAGAGCGUAGAGGUGUGUGGAGGGGUGAUGGGAUGAGAGAGGGUAGAGGUGUGUGUAGGGGUGAUGGGAUGAGAGAGGGUAGAGGUGUAUGGAGGGGGGAUGGGAUGAGAGAGGUGGAUGGAGGGGAGAUGGGAUGAGAGAGGGUAGAGGUGUGUGUAGGGGUGAUGGGAUGAGAGAAGGUAGAGGUGUGUGGGAGGGGUGAUGGGAUGAGAGAGGUGGUAGGUGGAGGGAUGAUGGGAUGAGAGAGGUGGUAGAGGUGUGUGGAGGGGUGAUGGGAUGAGAGAGGUGGUAGAGGUGUGUGGAGGGGUGAUGGGAUGAGAGAGGUGGUAGAGGUGUGUGGAGGGGUGAUGGAUGAGAGAGGGUAGAGGUGUGUGGAGGGGUGAUGGGAUGAGAGAGGGUAGAGUUGUGUGGAGGGGUGAUGGAUGAGAGAGAGGGUAGAGGUGUAUGGAGGGGUGAUGGGAUGAGAUAGGUGGUAGAGGUGUGUGGAGGGGUGAUGGAUGAGAGAGAGGGUAGAGGUGUGUGGAGGGGUGAUGGAUGAGAUAGAUGGUAGAGGUGUGUGGAGGGUGAUGGAUGAGAGAGAGGGUAGAGGUGUGUGGAGGAUGAUGGAUGAGAGAGAGGGUAGAGGUGUGCGGAGG